rnacentral:tRNA from 1 species
AUUAGGGUGGCAGAGCCAGGUUAAUGCAAAGGACCUAAGACCCUUGUACUAGAUGUUCAAAUCAUCUCCCUAAUAC